CUUUUCAUUCAGAAAAUAAUUGAUGAAAAAUCCACUUUUACAUGGAAAUUGGUUUCAAAAUUUAUGCAAUCUAUUAACUCAUACAAAGAAUAUUUUAACAUUCAGAGAUGUAACUAACAAUAGUUAGAUAAUAAAACUUUACAGUGCCUAGACUGUUAAAUUACUUUUUUAGAAAAGUUAAUAUCCUCCACAUAACCCCCAGAGAAUGUGAAAACUAUAUAUGGCUCAAUUAUCACAGGAAAAUAAGAUUUAGAACUGGAGGGAAAUUUAGGAGAUUAGACAUAGGUCUGAAUCCUAUUUCUAGUACUUAUUACCCCUGUGACCUGAUAAAAAGCCUCUUCAACUCUGAGUCUGUCGUUUAUAGAAAAAGAGACUUUGGACAAAUGCUAAUAAUUAAGAGGUAGGGUUUGUUUAGGCUUUUAUAGGCAAGUGUUGUAAAAAAAAUGUAUAUAUUAUAUUUCAUUCUCACCUCCCACUCUUAUUUCUCAACCUCUUGCAAUCUGGUUUCUGACCCCACUAUUAGAACAAUCUGUUCUUUCAAAAUAUACAGAUUUCUUUCUCUGGGUUUCCCUGUCAUUGUUUCACUCUCUCUUUUUCUUUAUCUCUGUCUUCCUUUGUCUGUUUCUGUCUUUCUCUGUCUGUGUCUCUCUGGCUUUUUUAUCUCUCUGUCUCUGUCUCUUUCUCUCUAGCUAAUCAAUUAUUUCCCCCCAGAAACUCAUAGUAUCAUAGAUCUAGAACUAGAAAGGAUCUUAGAGGCCCCCAAACUGUCUUUUCACUUUUUUACACAUCAGGAAACUGAGGUACAUAUCAGUAAAGUAAGAAUUUUACAGUUCUAAAUAUUACAUUUUGGAGAUGUUAUUAGAACCCAGGUCCUUUGGAGACAACUUUUUUUUUUUCCCCAAGAGAAUAUAAUAAUAAUUAAAAAAAAAGAUUAAGGUGAGAGUGAGAUAAAGGAUACACAAGGGAUUAAGUAAUAAGGGCAGGGAGGCUGGAGAGGAAGUCAAGAAAUACUUUAACAAAAUGUUCUCUAUAAAUCUUUUCUAAUGUUAAAAUUGUUUGAAGUGUCUAUCUGGCUUUCACAUAUUCUUAUUCGUGAUUCCUUUUCUCCUUUUCCUUCUUAUUUGAAUUGUGAACUAUUGGCAGUUUGCCCAGUUGUACAAUCAACUAGGGGAGAAAACUAGUUUAAAAGCAUUAUUUUUGAAAAAAAAAAUAAUCCUCUUGCUUUCACUAUGCCCCUUCUUGCUACUCUAUCACUUAAAAUUGUAUGUAUAGAGUGCUUGAGAUAUUGAGAAUUAAGAUUCAAAAGAAAAACAAAAAAAGACCUAUAAGAGCCUUUAGUGGAUGUAUUCCUUUCAGCUAUUUUAGGAUAUGUUUAAAAAGAGCACUAUGAUGGUCAAAUUAUAGUAAAUCUGAAUGAUGAUUGAUGAUGAUGAUGAUGGUGUGUAUGUGUGUGUGUGUGUGUGUGUGUGUGUGUGUGUGUGAAGGGGGGAAUGGAUGGAACAGCAGAGAGGUGAUGGGUUUGGAAUAAUUCUAUUUUUAAUGUUUGUAUCAAUAGUACUUAGCAGAGUGAACAGAACAUAGCAGGUCUUUAUUGUAUUCUCCUUAACUCAUUAAAAAAGUAAUAAUAAAAUCAAAUUGUGGUAAAGUUAUGUAAGGCUUUUUAACUGAAAUAUAUAUUUCCUUGUAUUAUUUCUAUUUUUGUGGGGACCUCCCAAUAUGUAUAAUUUCUCUAUCAACAAAUAGAAAUUUACAGAAAUAUAUCUUUUACUGAGACUUUGAAAGGUUAAAUGACUUUAGCUUAUCCUUACAAAACUGGAUUAUGUCAGAGAGCACUUAAACCCAAAUCUUUCUAACUCCAAGGACAGUUUUCUAGGAAUUACAUCAUGUUGUGUCUUUUUUUUCUAAUCUUAAUACCGUAUAUAAAUAACUAAAUAAAAUGGUAACAUAUGGAAAUCUUGGCCCAUAAAUAGGUCCUGAUUUCCCACUGUAUAUAUAGAAUAAACCAUCAUUCAUGACUCUUCAAUUGAGACUUCACUUAUGAAAGAUAUUCCACUGAGAACAUUAUGAUCAUGUCAUUGAUUUAAAUGCACUGAGAUCAAAGAUCACUUUUUUUAGCCUUUUCAUAUACAUAAGAAUAGCUUUAGUUCUGUUAUCAUCAAAUAAAAGGAACUUUUGUGCAUGUAUGUGUCUGCCACAAUAAGUAUCAUUUCAUAUUUGAACUGGGUAGCAAGCAUUAUUAUGGUGUUAUCUUUAGAUCUCGCAUCUAUAUUUUGUGUCUUUUUAUAAGACUUUAGUAGGGUUUUCUCCUACGUUUAUAAUUGCUGCCAGUUGCUAAGAAUGGUGUGAUGUGGUCCUUCCAUUCUAAUCCCUUCAAAAUAAGCCCCAGCUGCCACAUUACCAUUCCAGUAUGAAUUAUGUUCUUACAAUGACCUGAAACUGAUCCAUCUUUCUUUCUGUCUGUGCUUCAUUCUUUCAGACAGAGUAAUUCAGAGACUCCAUCUGGCUUCUUGCCCUGGAUGCUGACCAGUUUGCUUCUGUGACAUUAACCUGGUGCCUGAGAGUCUGAGUGUCAAUUUUGUACAGCUAUACAUAAAAGAUUUGAAAAUGAAUAUCACUCAGAGGACAAUGAAGAGCCACUUAAUGGAGGGAGGAUCAUCUCCAGACCUGUAAUACUGAGCAAACAGUUAAAAUGGAAAUUAAAAUCAGGAAAGCAUACUUUACUAGGUAAGGGAAAGAUUAAAAAGCCUGAAAAGACCUGGUACUGGCCUCACUUUCUAACAACUUGGAAAGAUAUUUGUUUCCAAGAUAUUCAAAGCUAUUUGAUUGUGAUAUCUGAAAAUAGUAUUUUAUUCUCUAUCUCUCGUUAUGUGUAUUGUUUUGUUUUUAUCUUCUCUUGACUUUAUUUUUACAGAUGUCAAUUCAAUUCUCAAUUCUUUCUGGGUUCCAAAUCACAGUCUAAGAUUAGGAGUAUAGUUCUGUCCUUCUUUCUCUUCCUGGGACAUUGCAUCAGAUCUUGUCUCGCAUGCCUGCAAUGUACCCCUCCAUGCCUCAGUCUUAUGAGAAAUACUUUUCCUUUUAAACAGAGAUCAAACAUGAUGUUUUUCAUGAAACCCUCUCUGAGCCACCCAAAUGCUAUUACCUUCACUGUAAGAUUGUUUUAUUUAACUUCUGCUUUGUAAAUAUUUGUAUAUAUUCACUUUUGUUCAUGAUAAGGGGUGUGGUAUGGAGGUCUUGUUGUGCCCUCCUAGGCCAGCUCUCCAGCCUCUGACCCCUAUCUGAUACCUAGCUCUCACUUGUGGCUCCUAGUAGCUGCUAGCAUGCGGCAGCGGCCACACCCCGGGCAAUGGCUUCGACAGGCUGGCUAAACCUUGUGAGGGUUGUGUUAUAAAAAAUUCAAAGAUUUUGAUUCUGUUUGAGAAAAGAUCUUCAAGAAAGAAGCUUGAAACUUUUAUAUCCAGAGAAUGAACUGUUGCAGAAAGAUGCCGAAAACCUACACUUCAUCAAGAAGAUCAAGAAUGAACUUUGGAUGUGAUUGAUUGGACUGAACUUUUGAUUGAACAUUUAUUGUAAUUGUAUACAUUUAUGCCAAAAGGCACUGCCCCUAAUUUGGCUUUCUGUCAAUGUGCCUAGCAAAACAUUGGUUUUGCUUUCUUUUCUUUUCUAUUUCCUCUCUCACUGUUCUAAUUUCUCUUAGAAAAUUGAAUAUUGUGUAUAUCUAUAGUUAGAAGUGCAUUUAGAACUACAAAUUGAUUAUGUUAAAUGAUCAAUGGGGAGACUAGUCUCCCAAUGAUCAUCGGGGGGAUUGUAAACCUUAAAAUUUUUUAAGACUUAUAAAUGUUGGAAAUUUCACCAUUGGGAAAUUUCAUGCUUGUAGGGAAUUUCAUACUGAUAGUGGGAACUCUAUUGGAAUGUGAACCCCAUUGGCAAGGGAGGUUCCUCCUCCUCCCUUCUUAAGAUUAUUUUAGGACAGAAACCUUUUGCUGAACAAUGGAAAGGGCUGCAGCAUAGAUCAAAAAUUUAAUUAUUCCAAUCUCCACCCUACUCAGGGUAACAGGAUUUAGGAAGGGCUGCAGCAAAGGAUCAAGAUUUAAUUAUUUGAGAAUAUGACCUUCAACAGACAUGUGCAAAGCCACAGACCUCUGGGUGGUCCUGGGUUAAGGUAGAGCCACCAUUGGCACAGGGAAGACAUGGACAGUGAUUGGUAGAUGUGAGAACUGAGGGGAGGGAACUUGGAUGGUUUCCUUAAAGAUAGCUGGGUCUGAGGACUAGAGGUGGUUGGUUGGAGAGAUUGUGCUCUGAGAAGCUUGCUCUGAAGGAAGCUGGAGGUGGAGGCCCCUGAGGCUGUUUCUCCAUUUUGGUCACGUGAGUGAUAGGGACUGAUCUCUUUUCUUUGCCUCAGCUAUCUAAGGGCUUGGGCCUUUUGGCCCAGCCUAAACAGAAGGGGUAUUUAAGCCCUAUUCCCUUCUCUCCCCUUUCUCUCUCCCUCUCUCUCUCUAUCUCUAAUACCUUUCUUCCUCCUGUUUGUAAUUAAACUCCAUAAAAGGUUGACUGCUGACUUGAGUUUUCAUUUAGGAAUUACAUAGCUGAAUUCCUUGGCGACCUUAAAUUAAUAUAUAUCAGUCUUUUAAAGUGAUUUCCUUGUCACAGUUGCCAUCGGGUCAUUGUGGACCCCUGGUGAACCAGUGCUUUGCUCACCCAGCAUGUGAAGACUGCUUCCAUGGAACAGGCGGAAGAAACCAACAAGAAGGUUCAAGGGCUUGAGAUGGCGAUGCAGCAAGGCACUGUGGAGUGCUUAGGGCGCCUUGGAGCACAAAAGAUAAGGCAGCCAUCCAAUGCAGCUGAGGAAGUCUCCAGGUGUAACGACUUUUUGUGCCACUGGACCCAGGCUUCCAACGCCAAGAGAGUGGGUCUGUCUCUGUGCAUCGACUUUUCCACUUAGAUCUUCAUGCACAAGUGUUUUUGUGCACAAAAACGCACAAAGACAAUCGUCACACUCGGUUACAGAGAGACUACUACAAAAAAAAUUAUAUUAUGUAUAUUUGUAUGAAUGGUGUAGAUAUUCCGUUUCCUUUAUUCAAACGAUAUUUCCUUGUGACUAAAGAUUGGUUCUUGUUCUUAUUCUUAGAUUCUCAGACUAAUGGUGUUUGGCCCAUAAUAGAUACUAAGUAAAUUGUUUUGAUUAAUUGGUGCACUAAUUAAUAGAUCCUCUCAGAUUUUUGAAACUUUGAAAUAAAUAACUAUUUUUAUGCAGAAAUAACUCUUAAGGAGCCUUUGUAUCAAAGGAAGAGCCUCCUAGAUUUAUAAAAUAUUCUUUUUUUUAUCAUAUCUUAACCUUGAAAAACAGAACAAGUCUUUAAUUAGGACAAGGGAAACAAUGCUCUAAAGACUUUUCCACACAGAGUCAUGUGUAAAAUACCACACAGAGACAAGCUGUGGGGCUCUGGGAACACUGUCCCUGGGAAAGUAUACCUAAAAAGGGGAUUUUCCAAUGAACUGAAGAAUUUGGAGACCUAUAUACAGUCUGGGGAAUCAAGGAAAGGAAAUACACACUAACUGGGUACAAGGAGGCUAGGGAAAGAGGUUGUAGCCUGAGUCUGGGGUCCCAGAAAGUAAUCUAAGAGAACCUAAGAAAACAAAAGGGUACUUGAAAUUUGAGUAUCUCAAUCAUUCCUAUUCAGGGUGCUUAAAAAUGGGAGCUUAAUAGUGCAUUGUUCAAACUAAAAGAAAGGUCAGUCUGGGACCUCUCUGAAGGGAAAUUCCCAAGGGAGAAAAUUAAAUUUGGGGGUUCCAUAAAACAAAGUCAUUAAAUUAAAUGAAAUAUGAUAUAGCAUAAUAAAAAGACAUCAACCAGAUUUCUGAUGAAUUUUAUCAUCAUUUGUAUAAACUAUAUGCAUUAAUGUCAUAUUUUUCAUAUUUUCAUCAGCAAUAUGCUAGAGAUAUAUCAGGAGAGGGAAGGUAUCCACUAUUUGGCUAAGUGAACAUAAUUAUAAAGAGUUAAAUUUUAAAAGUAUUGAUUAAUUAAUUCUUAUCCUUCUGGCUGAUGGGGAUUCUAUCUGAGAGACAAAUGAAAUUAGAGUAGGAUGAUACAGAAGUUUUUUUGGAGCAGCAAGCCCUGUUCCUGAGGUUGGGGAGUCCCAGUUUCUGGUGGUAGGGAGCUGGUUCUCAGCCACUUAGGAGGUACCUGUAUAGGCUGAGGAAUGGGAAUGUGUUGUGUUCUGGUACACAUUAUACAGGUGCUACUGUGGCUUUCCUAUAGUCUGUCAGUUCUGGAUUUUUGCAUAGCUAUAAUUCUGCUUUUUUCUUCUUCCUUCUCCUAUUAUUCUUUUGUCUGCCUUCAAAGCUUAGUUUCUUCUCCUUUAUAAAAGUUUUUCCCAAAAACACUUUCCGGGGGUGGAUCCAAAUUUCCAAUUCCAAAUAGUUAUAAAUAUUAAUGCAGUGAUUUGAAGAUGAGGCCAAGUCCAUCUGUUGUAGGAGAGCUUGAGAAAAAAAAAAUACGCUGGGCUGGGAAAGAAUGCCCCCUUAAGAAAGAUAGGCUCCAGUGAUUAUCUUUAAAAAUAGAGAAAUUUAUUAAGGUGAAUUCAAGUUAAAUUAUUGAGUUGAAUGGCAGGAGGCAGGUGCAGGUGAAGAACUGCCUCCUAGAAGAAAUGAGGUUGAGGAUUCUUAUACCUUUUUGACCACAGGAACUAUUUGACUAGAGAUGGGUUCAUGGGAUGAUGUGUUAUGUCUCAAAGACAAAAAGGGAUGAGCUGUGUAGUUCAGGGGAUGAUUAAAUAUCUGAGUUACAAAGGAUGUUUAUCAGAAGCAAACUGGGAGGUGCAUAUCUGUGCUCAUCAGAAACUCCUUGUCAUGAUUUUAUGUUAUUCAAAGCAACCUUCCUUUAGCCCAAAUUGCAGUAAUGCAAGAAAAAGAAUUACUUGCAUAACUUUUGACCUGAGAUAUUUCUGGAGUUUUGGGGUGUCCAGGGGAAACUCUAAAUCCCAUGCUAUAUACUUAUAGAAUUGCAUCUCUAAUAACAAGUUGUAGAUUAAGAAUUUAAGGAAUUUUUAGGAUAUUUAUCCUAUUUGUGUUGAAAAUGAAGUACUUCCAAAGAAAUUAACAUCCAAGAGCAGUCUAUCUCCACUUUGUUAUGGUGUUGAUAAUACUCAAAAUCAAUUACUUUAUAAAAUAAAUAUCCACAUAUAUGUGUGUCCAUAGGACAUGUUAAUCUGUUUUUUAGCACAUUUGAGAAAUAUAUUUUUCAUUUGUCUGUAUUUAACUAUGUACUAAAAC